rnacentral:rRNA from 1 species
CCUACGGGGGGCUGCAGUGGGGAAUGUUGGACAAUGGGGGGAACCCUGAUCCAGCCAUGCCGCGUGUGUGAAGAAGGCCCUCGGGUUGUAAAGCACUUUCAGUGAGGAAGAACGCCUGGUGGUUAAUACCCAUCAGGAAAGACAUCACUCACAGAAGAAGCACCGGCUAACUCCGUGCCAGCAGCCGCGGUAAUACGGAGGGUGCGAGCGUUAAUCGGAAUUACUGGGCGUAAAGCGCGCGUAGGUGGCUUGAUAAGCCGGUUGUGAAAGCCCCGGGCUCAACCUGGGAACGGCAUCCGGAACUGUCAAGCUAGAGUGCAGGAGAGGAAGGUAGAAUUCCCGGUGUAGCGGUGAAAUGCGUAGAGAUCGGGAGGAAUACCAGUGGCGAAGGCGGCCUUCUGGACUGACACUGACACUGAGGUGCGAAAGCGUGGGUAGCAAACAGGAUUAGAUACCCUGGUAGUC